UUUUCUUUCAGGUAGUAGUAUAAAUUAUAAAAUAAAAAUUACGAUAGUCUAUUGUAAAAAUUAUUAUUGAAAACUUAUAGUCCAGCGUUACAAUACUAUAUAAUGAAAAUUACGAUAGUUAAAUCGUAAAAAAUCCGUGAAUUUUUUUUCCGUGUAGACUCUAUUCGAAUCUCAAAGUUAUCCUCGUAAACUGUUGAUUUUGAUGACGAUAAAAACAGCUAUGUGCAUGUUAUAUCACAGGAAGUCGUAGUAAUUCUUGGAAAGAAAAAAAUAUAAAUAAAAUAAAAAUAAAUAGAGGGACAUUGAACUUCUAUCACUGUACCCAAUAAUGAUCCAUGCUGAUGUGUCUAAUUAAACCAACGGUCAAAACUGACAGAUAACAUUAACACAACAUCUCUUGUAUCUUUUUAAAAGAUGCCAUUCCGCGAAGGACCGCGAUCACGUGCUUGCAGAGUUAUCUUCCCGCUUAUUACCUCGCUCCGACCAGCACAUGAUAUUAUUAUCGCCUUGGUGUCGUCGUAAGAUCUACAAGGCUAAGGUGUGAAUAUAAGAGAGGGGGGGAAUAAAAGUCAUUAACAUUUUUCGACUGACACUUUCGAAUUUUGAAAAAAUUUCAAAAUAAUCCUCAAUUAUAUUGAGUAUAAAAACAAACUUUUUUUUAUAAAAUCUUGAGGGUACACAGAAAAAACAGAUGUCUUAAGUCAAGAAAAUAUUUUUGAAGACAAACGUUUUCGGGAACCAAGUCAAGAUUUUCUUGAGCCAAGAGAAUUCGUCUUGGUUGGAGAAGAUUUCUACUUUAUCUGAGAAAAUUUAGGUCUCCAAAAAAAUUUUCUUGAAUCAAGAAUAUUUACCUUCAGUCAAGAAUUUUUUUUUUUUGUGUGUACCCCAUUUUGUCCCCCUCCCCACUAUAAUCGACCAUAGACGAGUACAGUGUCAUGGACCAGCGAUUUGAGAUUGAAAACAAUACGCAACGUAAUAUAUGUGUGCAUAUAUAUAUAUCUAUAUAAAUAAAUCGGUCGGGUCAUGACUCACUUUUCUUAAACUCAUUUCAUUAAACCUUUUGUUACAAAUUGUGAAUUGUCUUGCGUGCGACUUACUGACUCGUACUUUAUUAUGCAGAGCAGCAAAUAUGUUUGUCUUUAUAUAUGAGUACGCGCAUCAACAAAAACGAGCAGAAAAAGAGAAUGAAAAAAUUUUAAUACAUUAGAUUUAUAUCUUACGCUUUAUCACAAGUUAUAAAUAUUAUAUUUUAAACUUUAAUAUAUAUAAAACCUUUAUCUGUAAGAAGUUAUAUUAAGAAUCCUAUCGCGAUAUAAUUUCAAAGGCUACAUAUAUAUGUUUUUUAUAUUAUUAAUGUUAUUAUAAUAUUUUAUUUAAACCCAUUUCCAAUGGUAUGAAUUAUAUAUAAGCUCAUAUAAGACUACUUGUCGUGAAGCUUAAAAGAAAUUACAUUCAGUCGGUUGUUACUCAACGUAAGUAAAUAAGCUGGAAGAUUCUCCGCAGUUACGAUGCCUGCAUUGAUAAGGUAAAAAUGUCAAUAAAAAAAAAUAUAUAGAUAUAUAUAUAUAUAUUGAAUAAUCACGUGCUACCGGCUUAAACAUCAACAACCAGCGGAAACAAGAAUUAAUCUCAGAAAAUUAUCUCACUGAAAUGUAUUUUAUUUUUCCUCGCUGUGAUAUCGAUUAUAAAAAAAAAGUCCUGACAACUUUAGCAGUGAUGAUUAUGAUGGACAACUGAUAUAGUAGCUUUGAAGAGAGAUUAUGUGCCACAAUAAAAAAUGAAAGAGAUUAAUUAGGAUUUACGAUGAAUAUGUUUUGACAUAAAUGCUCGUGUAAAGAGGAUUUAAAAAAGUGAUGACGAGAAAAAGCGAUGACUUUAAGACAAAUGCUGGAAGUUGUUAUUUUUUUUUGUAAGUAAUUAUUAUAAAAAUAUGAGAAUAAAAAUGCAGAUGCAUUUAACAACUUUAAUUCAAGUAUUAAUGUAAGUAUUGCAACGAUGCUUUAAGAUUACACUUCAUCCGGUAUGAUUUAGCGCUGAAGAUGACUUUUUGUCAUGGGUACUGUAUACACAUUAAUAAUACAUAUUUAUAUAAAUAUAUAUAUGUAUGUAUUUAUAUAAAUAUAUGUGCUCGCAUGAAUGUGAAAAAGCAUGUAGAAAGUUUCAUCGUGAUGUAAUGCCAAGAUGUACAUAAGAAUUAAUGUGCAAAAUAAAAUGUGUAUAUACAACGUUACAGGGCGAUCAUAAAUGAUGUCUGGUUCUUGUAUAACAUUAGAUGUAAUAUAAGAAGUAAGAAGAAAGAAGAAGAUUAUUAUUAUAAUUUCCACAAAGAGUAAUCGAACAUAUAUCGAACUACUGAGACAACAUUCCGCUCAGAGAUACUUUUCCUACUCUAAAUAAAUUAUAGUAAUUAUUCAUUUUGUACCAUUACUAGUUUGUUAAUAAAUAAAAUAAAAUUAUUAUAGACAGAAAAAAGGAAUUCUUGGCU